rfam:Salmo salar isolate Sally breed double haploid chromosome ssa09, whole genome shotgun sequence.
CCAAAGGCUAUUUUAAGAGCCAUUUACAUUGCAAUUAGGGUAUUCU